UACGAAGGUGGCAAGCGUUGUUCGGAUUUACUGGGCGUACAGGGAGCGUAGGCGGUUGGAUAAGCCCUCCGUGAAAUCUCCAGGCUUAACCUGGAAAGUGCAGAGGGGACUGUUCAGCUAGAGGUAGGUAGGGGGAGAGUCGAAUUCUGGUGUAGCGGUGAAAUGCGCAGAUAUCAGGAGGAACACCGGUGGCGAAGGCGGAUCUCUGGGCCUUACCUGACGCUCAGGUGCGAAAGCUAGGGGAGCGAACAGG
rnacentral:rRNA from 1 species